GUUGCUGGCCGAGGAAUGAGCAGAUUACUCCUAAGGUGGUUCCUUGGGGAUGUAAGUUUCUAUAGCUACUCAUCACUUUCGUCAUUUCAUUGUUUCUUAUCAUGCUGUGCACAAUCUAGAAGUUAAUUUGGAAUAGCUAACCUUUACCAAGGUUAAAUUCCUUGAUAACCUGUCCGGAUGGGCAUCUAAUAGUAUGCGCCAGAAUGCUUAGAGAAGAAAGAAGAUGACCUUUGUUUGCGCGGAAGUCAUUAAUUCAGUUCUCUUUCCUCUCUUCGGUGGUUUAUGCACCUUAAGAACUGGCUAAACUGGAUUAAGCGUAGCAGUUAUCCUAUUAAUUCUAGCUAAAGCCCAUUCUUAACCUUAAAGAAACUGCUUCUCCGGCUCUCCCUGCCUGUUGCAGCAACUGUAUUCUCUCACAGAGGGUCCUCUCAAUUGUGCUGUUUCUUCUUGGAGUCCUCUUUUAUGGGUUCCUUAACUAUUGUCCUCAGUGCAUGUGUUCACCCGUCACUUUAUGUCCGUUUGUUUCCUCCAUUCACAUGAAUAAUUUUGUGAUUCUGCAAAGACGUGUUUUAUUUUGUCCCCAGAUUUGAGGGGAAAAUUAGAGGCGGACAAAGGUUGGCAUAUUCUUAUAUUCUGAUACUAUCUCACGGGACAAUUGCUUCAGCUGGGAUAUGUAUCUGAAACGUAUUAGCAUAACUUUUGGAUAGGCUUGCCUCGUCUACUAUAGUAGUAGCACGUAUUGCCUCAUCUACUAUAGUAGUACUCGCGUAUUUGGUUUUAAGACCAGGUGGUGCAAAAUUGCUGUAACAAUGUGAUGUAGCAUUACCUCAAGGUCUUCAUUCUUUCUGCAGGUGGCUUGACAAGUGAGUUUGUAUCAGUGAUGUGAGAUCUUUCAGUGGUGAACUGAGUCUGAAGUUCUGCAGUUUUCUCAUCGUUGAUGUUCACUUGCACCAAUAAAACGAGCAAUGUAUAAGGGAUCAGUCCUCUUUCUCCACCCGAGUCUAAAGUUCAGCAGCUUUCAUUGUUGACGAACAUAUGCACAAUGGAGAACAAGUGUGCCUCACCCUGGUGCUACAUGUUACUUGCAGGAGCCAACCUUGGUGUCUAUUUGCUUUCCGGCCUUGGACAAGUCGAUGUGCUGCAUUAUACCCAUAUUAAAACUUUGAACUGACCAACAACUAAGUGUCUGCUUAACUAUAGAUGACUACAUUUGGAUUAUUAGAAAAAGAAAACGUUAUUUCUUCAGUUUUGAAAUUUUUGGAGUGGUGACAUCCAGACAUGUUUGUGUCAAUUGUUUUCUUAUUUUUUAUACAACUUAAAAGAUAAUAUAUACAAUACAAAUAAAUAACAUCAAGGUAUUUCUGAA
rnacentral:lncRNA from 1 species